rnacentral:rRNA from 1 species
GAUGAACGCUGACAGAAUGCUUAGCACAUGCAAGUCAUUGGCGAAGCUGCGCUUGCGCAGUCUAGCCAAGGCGGACGGGUGAGUAACGCGUAAGGAACUUGCCCUGCAGACAGGGAUAACAGACGGAAACGACUGAUAACACCUGGUAUUGUCAGGCUGGCGCAUGCCGGCCUGAUGAAAGGAGACGCUGCAGGAGAGCCUUGCGUCCUAUUAGCUAGUUGGUGGGGUAACGGCCCACCAAGGCGAUGAUAGGUAGCCGGCCUGAGAGGGUGAACGGCCACAAGGGGACUGAGAUACGGCCCUUACUCCUACGGGAGGCAGCAGUGGGGAAUAUUGGACAAUGGGGGCAACCCUGAUCCAGCAAUUCUGUGUGCACGAAGAAGGUUUUCGGAUUGUAAAGUGCUUUCAGCAGGGAAGAAGAAAGUGACGGUACCUGCAGAAGAAGCGACGGCUAAAUACGUG